UCGAAGCCUCUCAAAGAAUUUUCGUCUCUCUGUCACUCCUCUCUCCAUUGGCAAGCAGAGCAGCAAAACGAAAAUGUUGGCUUCUUCUGCUCCUACUGCCACUACUUCGCUCCCUUCUCUUCAUCCACUUACCUAUAAUGCCAUUCCAGCUCCCUCUCUCAACCCUUCUUGUCUUUCUUUCUCCUCCUCCUCCUCCUCCUCUUCUUCUUCUUCUUCUUCUUCGUAUUCAUAUCUUUCCCCUCUCUCUUUUGGUCUCCAUAGCAAAACCCAUGACAGGAUUAACCCAAAACUUAAGGGAUUGAGGGUACGUUGUUCAAAAAGUGAACCUUUGAAGGUGAUGAUAUCAGGUGCCCCGGCAUCAGGUAAAGGCACCCAGUGUGAGUUGAUUGUACAAAAGUUUGGAUUGGUGCAUAUAUCAACAGGGGAUCUCUUAAGAGAUGAAGUAUCAUCUGGGACAGAAAUUGGAAAUAAAGCGAAAGAAUUCAUGAAUGCUGGGAAGCUGGUUCCGGAUGAAAUCGUUACGACUAUGGUGACAGCCAGAUUAUCACGUCAAGAUGCUAAGGAGAAAGGGUGGCUUCUUGAUGGAUAUCCAAGGAGUUUUGCGCAGGCACAAGCUUUGGAAGAAUUGAGUAUUAGACCAGAUAUCUAUAUUGUAUUAGAUGUUCCUGAUGAAAUUCUAAUCGACAGAUGUGUUGGUAGAAGGCUAGACCCAGAGACAGGGAAAAUUUACCAUGUAAAAAAUUUCCCUCCUGACUCAGAUGAAAUUAAAGCAAGAUUGGUUACCCGUGCUGAUGACACAGAGGAGAAAGUGAAGUCACGACUAGAAGUAUACAAGAAAAAUGCAGCAGCAAUCUCAUCCACGUACACCAGCAUAACGAACAAGAUUGAUGGAAACCGUUCAAAAGAGAUCAUUUUUGAAGAUAUAGACUCCUUGCUGUCUCAAGUGCAGAAGGAUAAAACAGCAAAAUCAGUGAAACCAGUUCUUCAAACUGAGAGCCGUUUAAAUCUGGCAUCUUCAAGCAGGGAUAAAUGGAGAGGCAUUCCUACUAGAUUGAAUAAUAUUCCUCACUCAAGAGAAAUAAGAAAUUAUUUCUAUGAUGAUGUGCUACAAGCCACACAGAGAGCUGUCAAUGAUGGAAGAACUCGACUAAAGGUUGAGAUUAAUAUCCCAGAGCUGAAUCCAGAAAUGGAUGUGUAUCGAAUAGGUACACUAAUGGAGCUAGUACGAGUUAUUGCUCUUUCAUUUGCUGAUGAUGGAAAACGUGUCAAGGUUUGUGUUCAAGGUUCUAUGGGAGAGGGUGCACUUGCAGGAAUGCCCCUGCAACUUGCUGGUACUCGGAAGAUCUUGGAAUUCAUGGAUUGGGGUGAUUAUGGUGCUAUGGGAACAUUUAUCAAGAUUGGUUCAAUAGGUGCCAAAGAGGUUGAUGAACAAGAUGACAUGUUCAUCUUAGUGGCUCCACAAAAUGCAGUAGGGAAUUGCAUUAUAGAUGAUUUAAAAGCUAUGACUGAUGCUGCUGGGAACCGGCCAGUUAUUCUUAUCAAUCCUAGACUCAAGGAUCUUCCAGGUUCAAGUGGUAUCAUGCAAACUAUGGGUCGGGACAAGAGACUGGAGUAUGCAGCUUCCUUUGAAAGUUGCUACUUUUUCAGGCUUCUUUAUUAUGCUGGAACCCAGUAUCCAAUUAUGGGUGCAAUAAGAAUGACUUACCCAUCUGUUUAUGAACUGCACAAGAGGGUGGAUGAACCAUCUGGGAAGGAGAAGUACAUUCCAUUAUCAACAUUUACAGCAAGGCCAACCAUUGAUGAAAUUAAUGAUGCCUUCCUUGGAAAACCAAGGAAUAAAGAUAAGAAAGCCUCUGGAAUUUGGGGUUUUCUGAGUGGUGUAUUCUGAGUACAACAGAAGUUGUUUAACCACAACGCCCUGAGGUACAACACAUCACAAGCAAGUUUGUAUAUGUAGAAUGAGCUGGGACGUCACAAAUGCUUGAGGGUACAGGUUAAGCCGGUUGUUUUGCUUUAACACAUAUCAGUCCAGCUAUCUUUUGCCCCUUCUUUUUUAUAUUCUUGGGAGGAGGAAACUUAAAUAUGUAUGUUGGUUGAUGAUAGGCAGGCUGUAACCUUGAGUGAAAUUAUGAUAACUAGACCAUUUGGUUUUAGUAACAUAAAAUUAUUUUAGAA